rnacentral:rRNA from 1 species
CAAUAGCGUAUAUUAAGGUUGUUGCAGUUAAAAAGCUCGUAGUUGGAUUUGUGGCGUACGGUGGGUUCCGGGCACUUGUUGUCUGAGUAACUUGCUGUUGCCAUCCUUGGGUGGAACCUGUGUGGCAUUAGGUUGUCGUGCAGGGGAUGCCCAUCAUUUACUGUGAAAAAAUUAGAGUGUUCAAAGCAGGCUUAUGCCGUUGAAUAUAUUAGCAUGGAAUAAUGAGAUAGGACUUUUUUGCUAUUUUGUUGGUUUGCGCAAAGAGGUAAUGAUUAAUAGGGACAGUUGGGGGUAUUCGUAUUCCAUUGUCAGAGGUGAAAUUCUUGGAUUUUUGGAAGACGAACUACUGCAAAAGCAUUUACCAAGGAUGUUUUCAUUAA